rnacentral:rRNA from 1 species
UCACCGUGAAUACGUUCCCGGGUCUUGUACACACCGCCCGUCAAACCAUGAAAGUCGCCAAUACCUGACGUCCAACCUUGUGUUGGCCUAAGGUAGGGGGGAUGAUUGGGGUU